ensembl:lncRNA
AGGGCUGCACCCAUGGCAUAUGGAAGUUCCCAGACUAGGGAUCUAAUCAGAGUUGUAGCUGCCAGGCUACACCAUAGCCACAACAACUCAGGAUCUGAAUCGCGUCUGUGACCUACACCACAGUUCACAGCACACCAGACCCUUAACCCACUGAGUUAGGCCAGGGAUCGAACUUGUAUCUUCACAGACGCUGUGUCAGGUUCUUAACUUGCUGAGCCACCACAGGAACUCCAGAAAAAAAUAAUAUUGAAGAUCUGCAUUUUCAGAAGUUUAGGUCUGAAAAGGGUCUUAAAGGUCAUUUGGUCCAGUUGUGGCCAACCUCCAAAUCAUCAUCGCCCGGGGUGCCCCAUGGUCUUCAUACUUGCACCUCCAGACUCUGAUAAAUGGUGAAACUGCUACAAAUGAGGGCAAAUACUACUUCAGCAACAUCUGCCAGACAUCAGGUUGAGAGAUGGUCCCACAUGUUAGCUCAGAGCAGGAAAGAAUUUGCUGCACAUGAGGGAGAGAGAAUAGAGUAAGGGCAAGUGGGGCCAUGGAAGACUGCAAAUCUAAGUGACCAGGGAAAAUCUGUGCCCAGCAGGUGCAUCAAACACCCCAUCAGGACAGCAAGCAGUUGGACCCCAGAGCACAACCACUUGGUAGCAGCUCAAAGUGUCUCAAGGAUUCUAAAAGCUGCUUUUAGUAUCAGGCUCAUGCUUACCUUUCUUCCCAUGGUUUCAAGAACCCUCCCUGCUGUCCCAAUACUUAAAAGUGGGCUAAACCCCAAAAGAAGACCCACUGACCUCACCCAGUAAUGCCCUUUCUCAGAUCAGGCAAGUGGGACCUUGACAGCUUAAGGAUCUUGCCCCAGUCGCCUCUCUGGUCGGGGAAAUAUGAUGGGUAUUAUAUUCAGAGUUCUUUUUUCCUCCACUUUAUAACCUAUAAGAAGCCGAGGCAGUGCAGACACCACCUGGGCCCCAACCACUGGAAGAGAAAGUGAGGAAAACCAGCGUGUUCAGGGUGCUACAACAAAGGGCCACAAACUGAGUGCUUAUCAACAACAGAAAAUUAUUUCUCAGAGUUGGAGGCUUGACAUCUGAGAUCAGGGCACCAGGGUGUUCUUAACUUGGUGGGAGCCUCUUCUGGAGCCUCUUCUGUGUCCCCACUGGGUAGAAGGGGCCAGCUGGUCCUCUGGGGUUUCUUUCAUAAAGGCACACAUUUCAUUUAUGGGGCUCCACCUUCAUGGCCUAACUACCUCCCCAAAGCCCCACCUCCCAACCCCAUCAUUUGAGGGCUAGGGUUCCAUCAGGAACCUGAGAGGGCACACAUUCCAUUCCCAACAACAAAUUACAGCAAAAUUGGGCUAUGCCUGCAGAUUCACUCCCAGAACUCACUUGCUCAGUCUCCCAUGCUCCUUUCCUCCCAGGUGGCUGUCUGUGUGACAAAUGACCUGCCAUUUUCCCUGGGCUCCAAGUUCCUGACCACCUACCCCCUAGGACUCUUACUCAUGUCACCCACAACUGAACUCUGGCUUUGCUCUGCUCCCUGGGACCUUGGCGGCCAGCUUCAUCCCCAGAACAACAGCCCUUUCCAGCAAAGGCAGUAAUUCUAUAACAAAGCUCUGUAACUGCUCCCACUCCACCCAAAGUAGGGCCAUGCUCACAGCAAGUCCAGGGUCACCGAUGGUCACUUUCUCCCACCCUCUGCUGGGAUGGCCACAGCUGUCUUCUUGCACCUGCGUCAAGCUCUCAAGUCCAGCCAAAAAUCACUGAUCACUUGACUUAAUGCGUUCAUAUAUUCAUCCUGUCACUGAUGCAACACACCACCAUCAUUCAGCAUGCACUGGGUAUGAUGCUGGAUCCUGGGGACACAGGAGGACGAAAGCAAAACAAACAAAUGGACAAAACAGACCCCAUCUUCAAAGAGUCUGAAAACCGAGGGUGUGGUGUGGGGAAAGAAGAUUUCGUGGCACAGCGCUGAGGAGUGACUUCAAAGGCACGGAGGAGCAGAGACCACUCAGAGGGAGGACAGUCAAGAGGAAGAUGAGAAAUCUGGGAGGCAGGUGUGGCUAAGAGGGUGGGCACCGCUUCCAAGACGAUGCUGGAGCUGAAUUUGACUGCAGAGCGGAUGUUUCCAGUGGACAAGGAAAUUUCACACUCAGGGAGCCACAGGAACAUCCGAAAAGAGGCUUGAGGCAUGCUGGUGUGUUUAAAGGACUCCAUGCAGUUCAGAGACCUCUGCACAGGGUGAGCCCAGAGCACAGCUGCAGGAGAUCUGAAAUUGCUUCUAGACACAGCUGUUCUCCAUCUUCCUCACCUUCCUCCUUCAUUUCGUGCAGAGACAAUUCUGAAACAUGUCUGCAAAUUUCUUAGACACUCAUGUCCCAAAUCUGGUGCCUGGGGCUGAGGUCAUCUUAGAGGCUUUUUCCCUCACGCGUAUGAUGCUUGGGAUGGACGCCUGGUACAUGGGUCAGGGGGGCAGGGUUGGGGAGGAGGUGAUGAAGAAUGGGAGAGGAGCAAGGAGAAGGAGGAGGUUCUGUAGAAACAGCCUCCAUGUUCUAAACAAUUUCCAAUCGACCAUUUUGGACACAGAAACAGAAACGUUGUAAAUUAUUUUGCACUGUCAGUCUCCCUUAACCUCAUUGGCUCCAUGAACACAAACUGCAUGCUCGGAGGUGCUGGGUACCAUGCUGAAGACUGGGGUGCCAUCAUGAUGGGCUCACAUUUACAGUGUACACCUAUUUCAACGUGAGUGAGAUUAGGGAAGAUCAACGAAGCACUCUGGAGGCCUCGGAGGGAUGAAGGAUUUCUGCUGGGGUUAACGGAGUGAGGGUCACUAAGGCAGCUAGGGCUAACCAUGGAGGGAAGAGAUGGGGACAGGUCUUCAGGCUGGGGGAACAGAGCAAGCAAAGCCCAGAGGCACACAGGAGCCGAGUGUUUCAGACAAUAGAAAGUGGCCCUGCGCCAGCAGCAGAGGUGGGAGUGGAGGACAGAGCAGAUGUGCCCAGGAAAAUAAAGUUUUGAAUGUCUUGCUUAGGAUUCCAGACUUCACCUAAGCCUGAUGGCUAUCGAGAGUCAUCAGGUUGAUUUUAAAUGGGGAAGAAUCAUGAGAGUUGUGGAAACACAACUCUUACAGCGGCCUGAGGAACAGCUUGGUGGAAAGAAGCUGGUGGCCUGGGAGUCAAGAUAAAUCAGGGAAUCUACAAUCAGAGCCACCCUCCUGCCUGGACCCUGAAAUGUGGCCUGAGUUGAUUUCUCAAAUUUCCACACAAGGGUAACAACCCAGUGAAAAUUAUGCCAUCUGUAUCCACCAAUUUUAACUCCAUUAUUACAACUACCCAGGGCAAAGUGCAUUGCUAUUUCAAACAAAGAGGUGUCACUGAUACACAAGGCAGGUCUACAGAUUAGAGAUGCUCAAGGUUACAAUGACACAUUCACGAGGGUGGCAGUGUGGCAUUUAAUCAGAAUGACCUUCCUUCCUUUUUUCUCAGGAACCGCAUCCCUCUUUCUCCAAAAGUCCACCUAGUGCAAAUAUUCUCAGUGAUUCUGAAAACUCAUGCAAAAUGCAUUUCUGGUUCAAGUGCCUAAAUACUACCCUGGUUGCUUUUUUAUUUUUCUCUUUUUUUUCCAGGUAAUUGAAAUAUAUCGCCAUGAUCACUUAAGCAUGUCCAAUGUUCUCUUUUUACCUUUUUCCUCUGCAUGUCUGCAGUCAUUCCCAUGACCAUCCUUUCACUGGCUUACUUCCAGUCUGCAGGUAGGGUUGCCAUCUGCUACUCUGCAUCCCCUGCAUCUCUUCCUCCUGUGAACCUCCCCAACUCUCCCCCCCUAUGAUUUAAGGGAGCUGAUCCCAUCCCCAUAGGUACAGGGACUAGCCCAUGACCCGGCCUGGCCAAUAAGCCUACAAUCUGCCCAGACACCGUGGUCCUUAAGGAUGAGAGCUGUCCCUAGGAUUUCUGCAGAUGCCGAGAGACCUCGUAGAUUUUAAUACUAAAAUACUAAAAAAAUCAUAGCAGUAAAGUCCACACACAAAUCUACUUAUCUGCAUCCUCCAUUACAUGAUGUUCCCAGGAGAUGAUGUUUCUCUCCCUCUCAGUCCUCCUAGGGCAUGAAACACAUGACUCACCCAGUGACCACCUUGAGAAGGAAACAGUACAGAGACUGGCAGAGUCUGGGGAGCAUGAGGAAGCAUCAGGCAGCAAGGGUCUUCUGGGAGGACCUCUGGAGAAGACUAGGAAGCACCAGGAAGGGGGGGUCUUCAAGGAAGAUCAGAAGUUUCCCUGGGGUGCAGGUGUUCAGGAAAGGUUUCACCAAGCAAACUGGGGUUUGGAAGACUAAAGAAGGCCGUUCAGUGGAGAAAGACUAGAAAAGCAUCGCCAAGUGAGAAACCCACUCAGCAAAGACAGGGAGAAGAAAAGAACGCAGCAGAUUUGAAGUCUGGCAUGUGGUCCACCCCAGCUCUGGUCUGGGGGGCUGAGGGUUUGCAAAGGCAAAAGCACAGUGGCUGAGAAGUCUGCAGUGCCCACAACCCUUAAACAAUAUGUACCCGAAAGACUUCAAAAAAGCAGAUCGGUAGAAUCAUCUUGCUCUCCUCCUCACCAGACCUUGCAGGUUGGACAAAACAUCUUGGAAGCUAGCAUGGAGGAAAAGAUGCACAAUCCAGCCACCUGGAUCAGUGGGCAUGGCUACCAGUGGCUCUCACAAGCCCCCAGCCCACAUUCAGAAAGGCAACCCUUUGAACAGAGGGACCUGGAACAAGGAGCCAGAAGUAGCAGCAGGACCAGUUAGGAGGUCUUUCCAACAGCGCAAGGGAGUGGUGGUCAGAUGCUGCAGGAGGGAAUGGACAAGGAAAGAGAGCAUCAGCAGGUGUCCGCCAGCCCCCGCCAGGUGGGGACUGAGACCCCCCAGGCUCUACUACUCAUUCCAUUUCCCUUGCAGAUUUCAAUUGGAAAGUCAUUUCUUCAGGAAACAGCCCUGAGAAUCCUUCACCUUCUAAAGAUGAACAGUGUUCACUAGGACUCUUUUACGUUUCUUACUCUCUAGUGGUUUGAAGACUCUGUGCUCCUCCUAGACUUACUCAAGGACAUCCUUAGUUACACUAUUUAUAAUCCCAUAUUUUUUAACAAGUUCACCAGCUUGGGAAAUCCUGACAAAAAGACAUAAAUGUACACCACAAAAAAAAAAAAAA